UGCAUUGUUGAUAGAUUCCUGUCGUGCUUGC
rnacentral:piRNA from 1 species